CCUACGGGAGGCAGCAGUAGGGAAUAUUGGGCAAUGGUCGCAAGACUGACCCAGCCAUGCCGCGUGCAGGAUGACGGCCUAUGGGUUGUAAACUGCUUUUAUCAGGGAAGCGGUACCUGAGGAAUAAGGAUCGGCUAACUCCGUGCCAGCAGCCGCGGUAAUACGGAGGAUCCAAGCGUUGUCCGGAUUUAUUGGGUUUAAAGGGUGCGUAGGCGGACUGAUAAGUCAGAGGUGAAAGCCGGUAGCUCAACUAUCGAAUUGCCUUUGAAACUGCCAGUCUUGAAUAUUGUUGAGGUAGGCGGAAUGUAUCAUGUAGCGGUGAAAUGCAUAGAUAUGAUACAGAACACCGAUUGCGAAGGCAGCUUACUAACAUUAUUGACGCUGAGGCACGAAAGCGUGGGGAUCAAACAGGAUUAGAUACCCUUGUAGUC
rnacentral:rRNA from 1 species